GUCAGGAUGGCCGAGUGGUCUAAGGCGCCAGACUCAAGUUCUGGUCUUCGAGAGAGGGCGUGGGUUCAAAUCCCACUUCUGACA
rnacentral:ncRNA from 13 species